GCCCACCUGAGAAUUCGCAGUGGGGAGAAGAGGAGUUCCAUGUUGGACCUCUAGGUGGCGCGAUUCUUCCCGGGGACGCGUGGGUGAAACCCUGGCUGGGCCUGCGGCUGUGGCAUAGUGAGGCGUGGGAAGGGUACAGGGCACAGAGUGGCGCCACUUUUCCAAGUUAAUCAAGUCCCACAAGAGCUAAAAGGCAGCCCAGAGACGAUAGGUCCCCGAACUGGAUUUCAGCAUCUGGAGAGGCAUAACAGUGGGGCAGAAAAGCCAGGGUCCUAGAUCUGGUUCCAGCAUGUCCCCUACUGGUGGGCUCCCUUGUCUACUCAUUGAUUUCCUAGUGCACCCCCGCCCUCUCUCUUCUCUGUCGGUACCAAACUGCUGAACAGGGAACACCUGGAUGAAUAAGAGAGCAUCACUCCUCCCUCUUCCACAGAGAACACCUCCAGCUUGACUCAUGGCCUAGAGAAGAAACGUGUGUUGUUUUGAGUUUUCUUGGGGAAAGCAGUUUUAUAAGCAGAUAAUUACAAUGCAGUAUGAUACGGUUAUAAUAAAAGGCAUGUACCAAGUUUUCUGGAAGUUCAAGGAGAGGGAAAUUAACUCUUCCUGGGACGUUAAACGAGGUUUCACAGAGGAACUGGGUCCUGAUGAAGAGUAGGCGUUUGAACGACAGGAAUGAUAGAAAUUCAGACAAUAACUUCAGAAUCAAAGACCUUGAAGCAAGAAAGUGCAGACAAUAAUUGAAGAAUGGUAUUACUAUUUUCAGAAGAUGUGAAGAUCUACACUGAGAACACAAAAAGAAUCAUCUGAAAAAGUAUUAGAGCUAAUUAGACCUGAUUACAAAAUAACCGGAAAAAAAUCGUUUGAAUUUUUUUUUUAUUCUAGAAGUAAGCAAUGAGCAAAAAGGUUUUCCUUUUGGUAACAAUAGCAACAACAAAGCGAGACUCCAUAUCAAAAACAAAAGAAGCAGCACACAAGGGGCCGGGCACAGUGACUCACUGGCUCACGCCUAUAAUCCCAGCACUUUGGGAGGCUGAGGCAGGCGGAUCAUCUGAGGUCAGGAGUUCAAGACAAGCCUGACCAACAUGGAGAAACCCCGUGCCUACUAAAAAUACAAAAUUAGCCGAGCAUGGUGGCACAUGCCUGUAAUCCCAGCUACUUGGGAGGCUGAGGUAGGAGAAUCGCUGGAACCUGGGAGGCGGAGGUUGCAGUGAGCCCAGAUGGUGCCAUUGCACUCCAGCCUGGGCAACAAGAGCGAAACCCCAUCUGAAAAGAAAAAAAAAAAAUGCACACAAGGAGAAGCCAUGUGUAGAUGGAAGCACAGAUUGGAAUGAUGCACCUACAAGCCAAGGAAUGCCAAGGGCUGCCAGCAACACCAGUAGCUAGGAAAGGGCCAUGGAACAGAUUCUCCCUGGGAGCCCUCCGAAGGAGCCAACCCUGCCAACACCUUGAUUCUGGACUUUGAACCUCCAAAACUGUGUGAGAAGAACUUUCUCCUGUUUUAAGUCCUCCAAUUUGUGGUACUUUGCUGCAGCAACCCUGGGAAACCAAUGCAUUCUCUAAAAAAAGAGAAAUACAGUUCAUGCAUUAUUUGAGUGAGUUCUUUUAAAGUCUACUAACCACCAAGUAAAUGAUAUUUAAUGGAGUCAUUCUACUUGUAUUUUUAAUAAAGUGAUGCUGGUAAC
rnacentral:lncRNA from 10 species